AAGGCUUUUCUGUUUGGUAUAUGAGCAUUAUUUAGGGACCGCUAGAUUUGUUGGAUAUCGGUAAUGAUUGAUUGGAAGUGCUAACUUUGGGGAUGUGUAAAGCCUUGGAAUUUGCCAAGCAUUUGUCAAUAUGAGACCUAGAGGUGCAUCGCAUUCUUUUGAGGUGACACAGCAUAAUCAACUCAUGUACUUGGGGAGAAGGUGGAAGCAAAUGGGACUGGGAAGAAGGAGGCUAAGGUGAACUGAGGUGAAAGGUGGCUUAUUAGAAAUAGGCCCCCAGAGAUUAAGAACAAAUGUCCCAUCAAAUUAUCAUUUACAACAAACCCUUGAUGAAUAUCCUCCUCAAUGUAUUGACUCGACUUUGAAGAUUAGUCCCAAAUGUUUAGACAACAAUAUUAUACCAAUUCAUUGGAUAUAUUUG